CGGACGGGUGAGUAACGCGUGAGAAUCUGCCUUCAGGUCGGGGACAACAGCUGGAAACGGCUGCUAAUACCGGAUGUGCCGAGAGGUGAAAGCUAAAGGCGCCUGAAGAUGAGCUCGCGUCUGAUUAGCUAGUUGGUGGGGUAAGAGCCUACCAAGGCGACGAUCAGUAGCUGGUCUGAGAGGAUGAUCAGCCACACUGGGACUGAGACACGGCCCAGACUCCUACGGGAGGCAGCAGUGGGGAAUUUUCCGCAAUGGGCGCAAGCCUGACGGAGCAAUACCGCGUGAGGGAGGAAGGCCUUUGGGUUGUAAACCUCUUUUGUCAGGGAAGAAGGACUGACGGUACCUGACGAAUCAGCAUCGGCUAACUCCGUGCCAGCAGCCGCGGUAAUACGGAGGAUGCAAGCGUUAUCCGGAUUUAUUGGGCGUAAAGGGUCCGCAGGUGGUUUUUCAAGUCUGCCGUCAAAGCGCGGAGCUUAACUCCGUACAGGCGGUGGAAACUGAGAGACUAGAGUCUGGUAGGGGUCGCGGGAAUUCCCAGUGUAGCGGUGAAAUGCGUAGAUAUUGGGAAGAACACCGGCGGCGAAAGCGCGCGACUGGACCGGAACUGACACUGAGGGACGAAAGCUAGGGGAGCGAAAGGGAUUAGAUACCCCUGUAGUC
rnacentral:rRNA from 1 species